UACCUGCUGGCUCAGAUGGUAAAGCAUCUGCCUGCAAUGUGGGAGACCCGGGUUCGAUUCCUGGGUCGGGAA
rnacentral:tRNA from 1 species